rnacentral:lncRNA from 1 species
ACCAAACCCUAAAUGUGGCAAAUAAUGAAAUAUAUAUGUGUUAUUUGUAAAUUAGGCACCACCCACCCCUUUGGAGGUGUACCUGCCCUCGAAUUGACAAUCAUAAAUUAAUUUGACACCUGCAUGUAGUACUCAUGUUGAUUUGCUACUGCUCAGUGCAUAUAGGUUUGCAACAAGGGGAUGGGGGGCUGAGCAUGAGCCUUUCAAUUAUAAAGUUCACACCAGUGCAAGACUCGGCACUAAACUACCAGGGUCCUCUCCAAUUCCAUGGUAGUCUUCUCCAAAUCGCUAGCGCUUGGCGCUUGACUUCCCAUCCCAGAAUGAGACUGCUCUCUUCGGGCCAUGUAGCCAGCAAUGUGUUUUGUGGCUACCAAUAAGAGGCCAUGAAGAAUUGUAGCAAGUUCCUGAUGUUUGUAUCUUGUUCUGGUUUACCAGAUAGCCACUCCUGUGUUUUACAAAGGCCAUGAGAACCGAGUUCCAGUCUCCAGCACAGGAUGUGCGUGAUAUUUUGUCAAAAAUGAGCUUAACCUCUCAUCAUCAUUGUGUAGAGCAGAGAGUCUCGCUGCUCGCACUCGUCAAACAAACCUUGGAAUAUGUUUUGAUGGUGGCUUUAGAAUCCUUGAUAUAUCAAGAUCAAAGAAAACAACAAGUAAAAAACUUGAAAACCUGGUUGCAUCUGGUUUGCAUUAUCCUGAGUUGUCAAGAAAGCUUAGAUACUUCCCAAGAAAUCUCCCCUUCACCUCGUCAAUCUGCUUAGACACUUCAUGCUUGACUUGCUACUUUUGCAGAAAGUUGUUAAAUCCCAUCUAUUCUCCUUUUGACUAGUGCAUAGGGGUAAGAAUAAAUUUAAUCGCCCUGUCCUUUUCACUAGCACAUAGAGUUGGGAUACUGAUCAAGAGCAAAAAACUAGUUGGCUUUGGGAUUUUGAUCAAGCACGAGAUUCAGGAAUCGAUUGGUUAACUUUGCUUCAUUUUCAGAUUCUGGACGUUUAGGAAUGAUCCAUGGUUUAGAAUUCACUGGGACGCCCUGAUCUAUGGACAGCUGGCUUGUGGACUUCUUGUGCUGAAGGGCUCUCCAGUUCUUGGGUGAUAUCGACAGUCUUAGAAUAGUGGACAGAAAGCUUGUGUGCCAUCAACGUGAUGAAAUUGUGGCAUUUUAUCGAGCAAGGUCUUUGAGGAGACUGGCUUGGAGCAUUAAGCUUUGAUAAGAGCAUUUUCUUGCUAUCAACUUAGAAAAUGGCUUAAACCAAGCCCUAAAUGUGGCAAAUAAUGAAAUAUGUUAUUUGUAAAUUGCCAGGCACCACCCACCCCUAUGGAGGUGUACCUCCCCCUCGAAUUGACAAUCAUAAAUAAAGUGUUAUACAACGCUGAUUCGCAAGAAAAAUCAAGUAUCUUUACAUUGCUCUGGUCUAUGGCUCAAAUCGAAUAGUUUCUUUCUUCAUCUUCCAGUGCUGGAUGGAAACAGAGGUCUUUGUGGAGUGGGCAUGAAGGAGCGGCCGCCACUGCUGCUGCCCUCCUCUGAAUAGGCCUCGAGAUCCACCCCCGCCCCGCCCAGCUUCGCCGCUCUCCUUCUCGCCUGCGACGCCUCCUGCCGCUGCGCGACGUACUUGCGCGUCCGGCACACAUAGACCGCAAGAACCACUAAGGCAAUCGCGAGGAACAGUCCCACCACGAGCCCAGCGAUCGCCUCGUGCGAGAGCGUGAUCGUUUCCUUGCUGGAUUUGGAUUGCUCCAGUAGCCACCGUCGUCCAAUUGACCCAAUCGCUGGCUGGAUCAUCCGCUGGAUCGAUCCAGGAGCUUCAUACCCGUAUUGGGUGACCUCAUAGGAUGAAUCUACACCGCUGCUACAACCGCCGCCUGGGAUCCAGAUCGCAAGCAGCAGGAAUAGAGAAAGAAGAAGAAGCAAGCCGCUCCUCUGAGUUGGCGCUACCUCUCCGCCAAAUAGCACCAUUUUCGUGAUCCUGCGUGUAUAGGGAUGUGUUCGUUGCCUAUUUCUCGAGCUCUCAAGUAGAAUG